AUGGAUAAUAAGGGACUGUUUGAUGGUGAACAAAUUUAUGCUCGUGGUGACUACCUCAAGUGUGUCAGAAUGGCCGCUAUUAAACAAGAGGAGGUAGACACAUCUAAUGAUACCAGCGGUGGCCAAAUUACUCAUGACAAACCACUAUGUCGGAAGCACAAUAAGCGAUACGAGUAUAUUCAUCGCCCACGCAAAGCAAGCUCAAUCCAAAAGUUCAAAGGCAAGAAAAUCCAUCUAAAGCCCGGAAAGUCCAUUCUCCGUGGUGAGCCUUGCAAGCACUACUUAGAUGAGUUUAGUCGCCACGUUGUGUGGGGCAACACAGUUAGGCUCUAUAACCAUAAUGUUUGUGCACUGCGAAAGAUCAUCCGCAGCACCACCAUGCCUAAUAACUACUAUGUGUGCCACAUGACAGAAACAUUUGCAACACAAGGCAAAAGAAUGUACUUUAAUGUCCACUUUUCUACGGGUUCCCUUUUCCCACACAUGGAUGCUGACCACGGUGAACUUCCAAUCAUAUCUGGAGACGGAACAACCACUAUCACGGCCCACUUUAUCAAGGGAGUUGACAAAAGGGCCACCAUCACUAAAGGCUGGAGCGACUUCUUCCGUCGGACCCACAUGAAUGAAGGGCAAGCAUAUGAUUUCGGCUUCAAAUGCACUUCCAAGGGAUUGCACCUGAUUGUCUACUCAAUAUAA
rnacentral:rRNA from 1 species